UACGUAGGGUGCGAGCGUUGUCCGGAAUUAUUGGGCGUAAAGAGCUCGUAGGCGGUGUGUCACGUCGGCCGUGAAAACCUGCAGCUUAACUGUGGGCGUGCGGUCGAUACGGGCAUCACUGGAGUUCGGCAGGGGGAGACUGGAAUUCCUGGUGUAGCGGUGAAAUGCGCAGAUAUCAGGAGGAACACCGGUGGCGAAGGCGGGGUCUCUGGGCCGAUACUGACGCUGAGGAGCGAAAGCGUGGGGAGCAAACAGG
rnacentral:rRNA from 1 species